UACAGUUUGAUCAUGGCUCAGAACUAACGCUGGCGGCGUGCCUAACACAUGCAAGUCGUACGAGAAAGUUGGCUUCGGCCGAUGAGUAAAGUGGCGCACGGGUGAGUAACGCGUGGAUAAUCUGCCUUUUAGUUGGGAAUAACGUACCGAAAGGUGCGCUAAUACCGGAUAAUACUGCAUAACUACUGUUGUGUAGUCAAAGAAGGCCUCUGUUUACAAGCUUUUGCUGAAAGAUGAGUCCGCGUACCAUUAGCUAGUUGGUAGGGUAAUGGCCUACCAAGGCUACGAUGGUUAGCUGGUCUGAGAGGAUGAUCAGCCACACUGGAACUGAGACACAGUCCAGACUCCUACGGGAGGCAGCAGUGAGGAAUAUUGCGCAAUGGGGGCAACCCUGACGCAGCAACGCCGCGUGAGUGAGGAAGGUUUUCGGACCGUAAAGCUCUGUCGAGCGGGAAGAAAUGCAUGGUGGCUAAUAUCCAUCAUGCUUGACGGUACCGCUAAAGGAAGCACCGGCUAACUCCGUGCCAGCAGCCGCGGUAAUACGGGGGGUGCGAGCGUUGUUCGGAAUUAUUGGGCGUAAAGAGCGUGUAGGCGGCUGAAUAAGUCAGAUGUGAAAUCCCUGGGCUUAACCCAGGACGUGCAUUUGAAACUAUUCGGCUUGAGUAAGGGAGAGGAAAGUGGAAUUCCUGGUGUAGAGGUGAAAUUCGUAGAUAUCAGGAGGAACACCGGUGGCGAAGGCGACUUUCUGGCCCUAUACUGACGCUGAGACGCGAGAGCGUGGGUAGCAAACAGGAUU
rnacentral:rRNA from 1 species